GAGUUUGAUCUUGGCUCAGAACGAACGCUGGCGGCAGGCUUAACACAUGCAAGUCGAACGCCCCGCAAGGGGAGUGGCAGACGGGUGAGUAACACGUGGGAAUGUACCCCAAGGUACGGAAUAUUCUCGGGAAACUGAGGGCAAUACCGUAUGUGACCGAAAGGUGAAAGAUUUAUCGCCUUGGGAUCAGCCCGCGUUGGAUUAGCUAGUUGGUGGGGUAAAAAGCCUACCAAGGCGACGAUCCAUAGCUGGUCUGAGAGGACGAACCAGCCACACUGGGACUGAGACACGGCCCAGACUCCUACGGGAGGCAGCAGUGGGGAAUCUUGGACAAUGGGCGCAAGCCUGAUCCAGCCAUGCCGCGUGAGUGAUGAAGGCCUUAGGGUUGUAAAACUCUUUCGUCAGGGACGAUAAUGACGGUACCUGAAGAAGAAGCCCCGGCUAACUUCGUGCCAGCCGCCGC
rnacentral:rRNA from 1 species